GUUGGCCUCCUUACUUUUGAGGUUUUGGGACUCAGACUGGCUUCCUAGCUCCUCAGCUUGCAGAUGGCCUAUUGUGGGGCUUCACCUUGUGAUCACGCACAGGAGAAGAUUAUUAAGUUUUGAGGUUCUACAGCAAGUAAGUGAUAGAUCUGGGAUCUGAACACAGCCAAUCUGCCUCCAGAGCCUGGGCUUUUAACUGUAUACUGAUUCAGAGCAAACAGAGAGAUGGUGUCCUUGAAAAAGUAAGGGCUUUGGGAUCAGAUGAACUAAGAUGAGAAACCUGUAUGACGCUGGGAAGGCUACUGAUAUACCUCAAGUUUAAGUCUCCAAGUCAACAAAAUGAGUGCUAAUCCUGGCAUCAAGGGAUUAAGUGAGAUGGGUUUACCAAGUACCUAGCACAGGGCCUGGCAGGGUAGUUGAUAACAGUUUGCUUCGUUCCAGGGAUUUCUGUUAAGGAAAAUAUUUGAGGACUACACGUAGUUGUGUAUACUGUAGGGGAGGCAAAACCUUACUUCCACCCUCUAAGUCCCAGAUGGACCUGAGACUUAAAUUGACAUAAAACAGAUUAACAGGAAAAAAGCAUUCAAAUUUCAUAAAAGUUUUAUAUGACAUAAGAGCCCUCAUUAGGGAAAUGAAGACCCAAAGAAGUGGCAAAACCUGAAUGCUUUUAUAUUUGGUUGAACAAAGAGAGGUAACUGUGGGAAAAGUAAAUUAUUUGGGGAGGAUAAAGGGAGAAAAUUAUUUUAACAAAGUUGCUGGUACAGAAUGCACUUGGCUUUGACUCUUUAUUGAGUAAUGUUUCUUUCCUCUUGGUACAGUGAAGCCAUUUUUCACAUGGGAGUUUUUAUCUCCUGUUUUCAGGAAGAAAAGAGGAAAUUCAAAUGCCCUUCUUGCAUCUGCUAUUUUUCAAGUGCCUUUAGCUCAAAGUAAUCCUUAUGCCAAAGUGGCAUAUUUUGGGCAGCAUAUUCUGCCAUCCUUCAGUAGAACGAUGAGAAAGAUGUUCACUGCAGUGAAACACAUGUACACAAAAAUCAGAAGGGCUAGAAAGAAACCUAUACCUAUCAAGGUGCUAUUAAAGUUAAUUUGCUUUUAAAAAUAUAAUCAAUCCUGAUUUUCUUGCUUGGGAGAUGAAUGAAAAAUAUAUUUUCAAUGAAGUUUAACUUCCAAGUAACACUAUGCCAUAGCAGCUAUGUACAUUCACAUGCUCAAUAAAUUCAGUGUGAUUUGAA